rnacentral:misc_RNA from 1 species
CCAGAGGUAGCCACAGUACUUAACUCUAUGAAGGAGAGCGCAUUUUCCAUAGCUUGUAGCAGGGGGCAUCUUGAUGUAGUUAAGCUAAUGCUCAAUCAAAGCUGGUUAAUGGAUAUCGAAGAAGCUAGAUUCCCGUCAAAUGCUUUGCACGAAUCAGUAUCAAGAAAAAACACAAGUAUGUCCAAUUAAAUCUACUACCUUAAAUUAAUCGACACAAUGAAAAGACGAGGAUAAUUUUUUUUUUUUUUACUGUGCAGGCAUUGUGAAGGAGGUAUUGGAAGCGAGGCCAAAAUUUGCAUGGAAACGCGACAAG